UACGUAGGGUGCGAGCGUUGUCCGGAAUUACUGGGCGUAAAGAGCUCGUAGGUGGUUUGUCGCGUUGUUCGUGAAAACUCACAACUCAAUUGUGGGCGUGCGGGCGAUACGGGCAGACUGGAGUACUGCAGGGGAGACUGGAAUUCCUGGUGGUAGCGGUGGAAUGCGCAGAGUAUCAAGGAGGAACACCGGUGGCGAAGGGCGGGGUCUCUGGGCAGUAACUGACGCUGGAGGAGCGAAAGCGUGGGGAGCGAACAGGA
rnacentral:rRNA from 1 species